GAGUGAGACAAGUGACUGUUUGA
rnacentral:miRNA from 1 species